UGUAUUUUGUGCUGAGAUUUCCAUAUUGUU
rnacentral:piRNA from 1 species